rnacentral:rRNA from 1 species
CACGGGAGGGGGCAAGCGUUGUUCGGAAUUCUGGGCGUAAAGCGCACGUAGGCGGACUGGUCAGUUGGGGGGUGAAAUCCCGAGGCUUAACCUCGGAACUGCCUUCAAUACUGCCGUCUUGAGAUCGGAAGAGGUGAGUGGAAUUCCUAGUGUAGAGGUGAAAUUCGUAGAUAUUAGGAAGAACACCAGUGGCGAAGGCGGCUCACUGGUCCGAUACUGACGCUGAGGUGCGAAAGCGUGGGGAGCGAACAGGAUUAGAUACCCGCGUAGUCC